CGAAGGAUACUUAGAUGUCCAAAUGAUCUAAAGUUCAAAGUGCAUCUCACGCAUUAAAUUAUCUACCAUGCAAACACAAAUUGGAACUUUCUCAACUUUUCUAGUAUUUGUUUUGAUUUUUUUAUGCAUCAAAGGUGAGCCUAGGCAUCGGAUCAUGGCUUUGUGUAAUGAUGUACUUUUUUAACCUUGUUACCCUUUUCUCUUGGUUUUUUAGGAUGAGAUACAAUAAAAAAUAUGAGAAGGUUUGGUCGUUGAUGUCAUUGAAUAACAAGAGACCGAUGAAGCUUUAUGACGUAAGUAGAUGUGAUUGUUAGUUAUAUAUGUUGGUGUCAUGUGAUGUGAGAUAGUAUGCUUGUACUUUUGUAUGUUGUAUGAUAAAGCUUAAAAAGAAAUCAUAUAAUGGAUUUUGAAUGCAUAUUUUUGUGUCAUGUUUGUUUGUGAAAACAUGUCAUAGUAAAUUAGUUACUGUCUAGCUGAUUUUAGGACUAAUUAACGCAUCGUUAAGAUCACACAUUGCACAUAGUGUUUUUUAUCUAAUUGCGUGUGAUGGCAUUUACAUCUCACACAUUUUAAUAUUUUUAAUUGUGUGCAAUGACUCGCGCAUUACAUAUAUUUUUUAUGAAAUUAUCACGUGUGAUGCUAUUCCAAAUUGCACACAGUUUUAUGUUGAAUUGUGUGAGAUGUACCCCAACCCAUAAACAGUUUUAGUAGUGUGUGCGAUGGAUCCUCUAUCGCCCGCCCACACAAGGUGACUGUUUGAAANNNNNNNNNNNNNNNNNNNNNNNNNNNNNNNNNNNNNNNNNNNNNNNNNNNNNNNNNNNNNNNNNNNNNNNNNNNNNNNNNNNNNNNNNNNNNNNNNNNNAAGUUUUCUACAGUACCAAAAGAGGUGGUAGUUUGUUUUCUUGUGCUAAUGUUAUCACGAGUUUCUGUUUAAGUUUUGUGUUCUGAAGUUUUCAAGUUUUGGGUGAUGUUCUCAUGGACAAAGAGAUAAGGAGUGGAAAGAUCUCAAGCUUGGGGAUGCCCAAGGCAUCCCAAGCCAAAUUCAAGGACACCAAAAAGCCUAAGCUUGGGGAUGCCCCGGGAAGCAUCCCCUCUUCUGUCUUCAAUCCAUCGGUAACAUUAUUUGGAGCUAUAUUUUUAUUCACCACAUGAUAUGUGUUUUGCUUGGAGCGUCUUGUAUCGUAGGAGUCUUUUCUUUUUGUUGUGUCACAAUCAUCCUUGCUGCACACCUUUUUGAGAGAGAGAGAGAGACAUGCACUCAUCGUGAUUUUGCUAGAAUGCUCAUAGUGCUUCACUUAUAUCUUUUGAGCUAGAUACUUUUGCUCAUAGUGCUUCACUUAUAUCUUUUGAGCUAGAUAAUUUUGCUCUACGUGCUUCACUUAUAUCUUUUAGAGCACGGCGGUGCGUGACUUGGUAGUUGGCUUAUGCUAUGAAAGUAGUCCCAAAAGUGAUAGGUACCCAAAGAGGAUACAAAAAUCUCCAUCUUCAUGUGCAUUGAGUAGAAAGAGAAGUUUUGAUUCCUCUCAAUUAGUUUUGAGACGUGGAUUUGGUAAUAUUAAGAGCUAUGUUAGUAGGGUGUUGUGAAUCUAGAAAUACUUGUGUUGAAGUUAGUGAUUCCCGUAGCAUGCACGUAUGGUGAACCGCUAUGUUAGGAAGUCGGAGCAUAAUUGAUCUAUUGAUUGUCAUCCUUUGUGUUGAGGUCGGGAUCGCGCGAUGGUUAGCACCUACCAACCCUUCCCCUAGGAGUAUGCGUUUAGCACUUCAUUUUGAUUACUAAUAAAAACUUUCGCAACAAGUAUGUGAGUUCUUCAUGACUAAUGUGAGUCCAUGGUAUAGAUGCACUUUCACCUUUCACCAUUGCUAGCCUCUCUAGUGCCGCGCAAUUCUCGCCGGUGCACAAACCCACCAGAUGCCUUCCUCAAAACAGCCACCAUACCUACCUACUAUGGCAUUUUCAUAGCCAUUCCGAGAUAUAUUGCCAUGCAACUCCCACCGUUCCGUCUCAUGACUUGUGCCGUCACUCUCAUAUUGCCAUUGCAUGAUCGUAAGAUAGCUAGCGAGAUGUUUUCAACGUCAUCCGCCAUGCUAGAUCGUUGCACAUCCCGGUACACUGCCGGAGGCAUUUCCUAUAGAAUAAAAUAAAAAAUAGAAAAGAGGCCAAAGAGCCCAAAUAAAAAAAGAAAAGAGAAAAAUAGUCCCAAGCGCCCAAAUAAAAAAAUAUAUAAAAAAGAGAGAGAUAAAGAGAGAAGGGACAAUGCUACUAUCUUUUUCCACACUUGUGCUUCAUGAUUGAGAGAUUCUUGCUUUGUCACUACCAUAUGCUAGUGGGAAUCUUCAUUAUAUAACUUGGCUUGUAUAUUCCAAUGAUGGGCUUCCUCAAAAUUGCCCUAGGUCUUCGUGAGCAAGCAAGUUGGAUGCACACCCACUAGUUCUCCUUUUGAGCUUUCACAUACUUAUAGCUCUAGUGCAUCUCUUGUAUGGCAAUCCCUACUCAUUCACAUUGAUAUUUAUUGAUAGGCAUCUCCAUAGCCCUUUGAUACGCCGAGUCAAUGUGACCAUCUCCUCCUCUUUGUCUCACAACCACCACCACACUCUAUUCCACCUAUAGUGCUAUAUCCAUGGCUCGCGCUCACGUAUUGUGUGAUAGUUAUAAAAAGUUUGAGAAAGUACGAGUGCGAAAGCAAUUACUUGGCCAAUACCGGGGUUGUGCAUGAUUUACAUUAGUUGUGUGAGGAUGAUGGAGCAUAGCCAAACUAUAUGAUUUUGUAGGGAUAACUUUCCUUGGCCUUGUUAUUUUGAAAGUUCAUGAUUACUUUGCUAGUUUGCUUGAAGUAUUAUUGUUCUCAUGUCAAUAACAAACUAUUGUUUCGAAUCUUACGAAUCUGAACAUUCAUGUCACGUGAAAGAAGUUGCAAAGGAAAACUAUGCUAGGUAGCAUUCCACAUCAAAAAUUCAUUCUUUAUCACUUCCCUACUCGAGGACGAGCAGGAGUUAAGAUUGGGGAUGCUUGAUACGUCUCCAACGUAUCUAUAAUUUUUGAUGGUUUCAUGCUAUUAUCUUGUCAAACUUUGGAUGUUUUGCAUCCUUUUAUAUGUUUUUUUGGGACUAACUUAUUAACUCAGUGCCAAGAGCGAGUUCCUGUUUUUUCCAUGUUUUUGACCCCUUUUAGAGGAGGAUUUUGAACGGAGUCCAAACGGAAUGAAACUGCCAAAAAUAUUUUUUCCGAAACAGAAAAAGAUCGGGAAGCCGGAGAAUCAGGGCAAGGGGCCACGAGGGACCUGAUGUCAGCUAUGCUUCCCUCGCAAUGGCGCCAGGAAUAGUCGUGUCGACAGCACCAGGAAUCCUUCCGCUGCGGCUACGCCUUAAGGGACUUCCUUGGCAAAUAUGCAAAGGAUUUCCCCCGUGACCUUGGAGCCUUGCAUUGGUGUUCCCUCGAAGCAGAAAGGGUGAUGUAGCACAGCGGUGGUAAGUAUUUCCCUCAGUUUGAGAACCAAGGUAUCAGUCCAGUGGAGGAGUAUCACAAGAUCCUGCACAAACACAAAGAAUCUACUCCCAACGCUAUGAAGGGGUUGUCAAUCCCUUAUAGAUUGUUUGCCAAGUGAGAACUGAAAGCAACAAAGUAACAAAGCAAAGUAAAAGCGGAGGUGUAAACGAUAGAUGUGAAUAGACCCGGGGGCCGUAGUGUUUACUAGUGGCUUCUCUCAUGAAAGCAAGUAGACGGUGGGUGAACAAAUUACUGUCGAGCAACUAAUAGAACCGCGCAAAGUCGUGACGUCAUCUAUGGCAAUGACUAUAUCUAUAGACAUCACAUCCAAAACAAGUAGACCGAUACUAUCUGCAUCUACUACUAUUACUCCACACGUCGACCGCUAUCCAUCAUGCAUCUAGUGUAUUAAGUCCAAAAGAACAGAGUACGCCUUAAGCAAGAUGACAUGAUGUAGAUGGACAAUCUCAUAUCAACGACAGAGCCCAUCUUGUUACCCUUGAUGGCAACUACUUAAUGUGUGCCUUGCUGCCCCUACUGUCACUGGGAAAGGUCACCACAUGGUAGCACCCAAAACCAAGCACUUCUCCCAUUGCAAGAAUCAUAGAUCUAGUUGNNNNNNNNNNAGACUCGGAGAGACUUACAAGGAUAUCAAAUCAUGCAUAUAAGAAAUAAGCAAAGACUCAAAUAUAUAUCAUAGAUAAUCUGAUCAAAAUCCACAAUUCAUCAGAUCUCGACAAACACACCGCCAAAGAAGAUUACAUCGGAUAGAUCUCCAUGAAGAUCAUGGAGAACUUUGUAUUGAAGAUCCAAGAGAGAGAGAAGAAGCCAUCUAGCUACUAACUACGGACCCGUAGGUCUGAAGUGAACUACUCAAGAGUCAUUCGAGGGGCGAUGAUGAUGAUGAAGAAGCCCUCCAACUACAAAGUCCCCUCCGGCAGGGCGCCGGGAACGGUCUCCAGAUGAGAUCUCACGGAAACAGAAGCUUGCGGCGGCGGAAAAGUAUUUUCGAGGCUUCCCUGAUUUUUUGCUGUAUUUUAGGGAAUAUAUAGGCCAAAGAUCUAGGUCAGGGGGCGGCCAGGGAGGCCACAAGCCCUGCCACCGCCGCCUCCCCUGGUGGCGGAGUGGGGGCUUGUAGGCUCCCUGGAGCCCUCCUGGCUUGGCCCACAGGCCCCGUCAUCUUCUUCCGUUCGGGAAAAAUAAUUUCGGGAAUUUUAUUCCGUUUGGACUCCGUUCCAAAAUCAGAUCUGAAAAGAGCCAAAAACAUAGAAAAAACAGGAACUGGCACUUGACACUGAAUUAACAAGUUAGUCCCAAAAAAGAUAUAAAAGGUACAUAAAACAUCCAAAGAUGACAAGAUAACAGCAUGAAACCAUCAAAAAUUAUAGAUACAUUUGAGACGUAUCAGGACCCCACAAGCCCUCAUGGCGCGGCCAGGGGGGCCCGCGGCCCACUGGCUUGUGGGCUACCUGAUGCUCCUUUGCCCUAGGUUUUGCGCCUAUAUAUUCCCUAAAAUUCCAUGAAAAAUCAGGAGAUCAUCGAAAGUACUUUUCCGCCGCCGCAAGCUUCUGUCUCUGCAAGAUCCCAUCUGGGGCACGUUCUGGUGCCCUGCCGGAGGAGGGAUUCGGAUAUGGAGGGCUUCUUCAUCAACACCAUGACCUCUCCGAUGAUGCGUGACUAGUUCACCAUAGACCUACGGGUCCAUAGCUAGUAGCUAGAUGGUUUCUUCUCUCUCUUGGAUCUUCAAUACAAAGUUCUCCAUGAUCUUCAUGGAGAUCUAUCCGAUGUAAUCUUCUUUUGUGGUGUGUUUGUCGAGAUCCGAUGAAUUGUGGAUUUAUGAUCAGAUUACCUCUGAAUCUUAUUUGAGUUUCUUCUGAUCUCUCUUAUGCAUGAUUUCGUAUCCUUGUAAUUCUCUUCGAGUUGUGGGUUUUGUUUGGCCAACUAGAUCUAUGAUUCUUGCAAUGGGAGAAGUACUUGGUUUUGGGUUCAUACCGUGCGGUGACCUCACCCAGUGACAGAAGGGGUAGCGAGGCACGCAUCGUGUUGUUGCCAUCAAGCGUAAAAAGAUGGGGUUUUCAUCAUUGGUUUGAGUUUAUCCCUCUACAUNNNNNNNNNNAGUGACCUCACCUAGUGACAGAAGGGGUAGCGAGGCACGCAUCGUGUUGUUGCCAUCAAGGGUAAAAAGAUGGGGUUUUCAUCAUUGGUUUGAGUUUAUCCCUCUACAUNNNNNNNNNNNNNNNNNNNNNNNNNNNNNNNNNNNNNNNNNNNNNNNNNNNNNNNNNNNNNNNNNNNNNNNNNNNNNNNNNNNNNNNNNNNNNNNNNNNNUAACAAUACAUGAACAUUAAAUGAUUUUACAAACCCAAAUUUAUUUUUUUGCCGAAGGAUACUUAGAUGUCCAAAUGAUCUAAAGUUCAAAAUGCAUCUCACGCAUUAAAUUAUCUACCAUGCAAACACAAAUUGGAACUUUCUCAACUUUUCUAGUAUUUGUUUUGAUUUUUUUAUGCAUCAAAGGUGAGCCUAGGCAUCGGAUCAUGGCUUUGUGUAAUGAUGUACUUUUUUAACCUUGUUACCCUUUUCUCUUGGUUUUUUAGGAUGAGAUACAAUAAAAAAUAUGAGAAGGUUUGGUCGUUCAUGUCAUUGAAUAACAAGAACCGAUGAAGCUUUAUGACGUAAGUAGAUGUGAUUGUUAGUUAUAUAUGUUGGUGUCAUGUGAUGUGAGAUAGUAUGCUUGUACUUUUGUAUGUUGUAUGAUAAAGCUUGAAAAGAAAUCAUAUAAUGGAUUUUGAAUGCACAUUUUUGUGUCAUGUUUGUUUGUGAAAACAUGUCAUAGUAAAUUAGUUACUGUCUAGCUGAUUUUAGGACUAAUUAACGCAUCGUUAAGAUCACACAUUGCACAUAGUGUUUUUUAUCUAAUUGCGUGUGAUGGCAUUUACAUCUCACACAUUUUAAUAUUUUUAAUUGUGUGCAAUGACUCGCGCAUUACAUAUAUUUUUUAUGAAAUUAUCACGUGUGAUGCUAUUCCAAAUUGCACAGAGUUUUAUGUUGAAUUGUGUGAGAUGUACCCCAACCCAUAAACAGUUUUAGUAGUGUGUGCGAUGGAUCCUCUAUCGCCCGCCCACACAAGGUGACUGUUUGAAACUACGUCACUCAAAUGGGUUAAAACCCGUUUGCUUAGGACGUCGCUGCACCUAUGGUACUUCCAACAGAAUAUAUGAGCUCGCGGUUGAGCAUGUUGACGUGCUCCUCGACGGGUGUCAGAUAUGGUACGUUAUCCCUACCAAGUCAAAUGUUUAAAAUCGUUAGAUA
rnacentral:lncRNA from 1 species